GAAUGUGAGGGAGGUCUGGCUGUGAAUGUCUAUCACCCCACUGAUUUCUAGGGCUGAUUAGGCUGAUCUAGCUGACCAGGCAAGUGUCCUUGUUCUCCUUCACCACUUCGUGUGUGUCCCUCAUAAAGCUGUGCCCCUCAUAAAGCUGCGUCUUCAGGAACCACCUUCCCUUAUACAGAGGACUGUAAUUUCAUCAAGAGCAUAGGAGUAGCUGCUCUCCCCUGCUAGAACCUCCAAACAAGCUCUCAAGGCCUGCACACAACUUAAUUUACAUGUGUGAUUAUAUCUAUUUCAUUUUAUAUGUGUAGCAAUUAAGAAU
rnacentral:snRNA from 1 species